AAGCCCCCAGUUAAAUGCUUUCUUUUGAAGGGGUUGCCUUGGUUGUGGUGUUUCUUUACAGCAAUAGACCAGUAACUCAGACACUGACACAUUCCGAAAACAGUCACAAUGACCUUGGUUGUCUUGGUUGCCCCCUAGUUUGUAUAGGUCUUCAGUUCUUGAAUGCCUGGGAGAAAUGCAGGAUGAAAUAGCGCAUGUUCUUAGCUGCUGGGGCGAUGAAGAUACUGCGGUGUACUGGCUCCCUGUCUGUGGCUUCCUCUCUCAUGGUUCCUCAGAUCACGGCUCAUGGAACUCUGAAUUACCAAGGCUUUCUUUGUUUGGCUUCUCUUUGUCACCUCUGCAGAGUAGAGAGUUCACAAGUUUCUUCACUGAGAUUACUUGAUUUACACCUCAGCUCACUCCGGAGAUUAUUAAUCAAUAGUACCCGACUGUCUCCUAACUGAAAGUUACUGAGCAUGAACAUAUGCAGACACAUGCAGUUUCCAAGCAUGGUCAUAUGUAAGUGCAUGUGAGAGUGUUCUCAUGUGUGCAGUUCCUGUUUGUGAUCAUGUGUAUGAAGAUGUGUAUGUCACAAGGCAUAAAGAAGGACAUCCAGAAGACUACCUGAGAACAAUGUACAGUGAUACCUUCCAGAAGCCAGGGAAUUAGGAUACCAAUGCCAGUUGGAAGGCUGGAGGGACGAAGGAACUAAAUGUGAGGAGCUGCUGGCUGAAGCCUCUCUGAUGACAACUGGACUACGAACCAAUCUGAUCUCACCAUUUGUUGAAGAGACCGUCUUUGUCCAGGCUGUUUCUGGCAUCUUUGUUGUAAUGGAGAUGUGACAGCUGUCUAGGGGAUUGAUGAAUUUGCUCCCUGACUCGAACAAAGAAUUGAAUGACUAGGAACACAGAAGACACAGCUUUAUCCUGUCAGGAUGGGAGAAGUCUAAAGCUGGAAGUCCAUUAAGUAGAGGCUGACUUGGACACAGGACUUAGAGGAUUUGAGCUGAAGUCGACCUGAAAGCCUCUUCCCUGAGGACUAGCUUUCCCAGUAAUGGAAGGCGCUGUACCAGCUGCUGGAAGAGGGAAGCCGUCAACAGUCCUACCAGUCUGUGAGGCCUGUGACCAAAGCAUGAGCAGCAUUGAUAUGUAUGGCUUUCACCCCUCAUCAAAGAAGCUUCCCUUUGCAAAAAGACAGAGACAAUCCAAAAACCCCCAACUGGUCACAAUGCAGAGAACGACUGAUGGGUUGAAGUGUGCAUCUUGGCUGUCUCUUGAGAGCGUGUUGGCAUCAGGAAAGGUAUGAGCAUCGGUCUCUGCAAGGCUCGGAAUAGCUAACGGAGAUAGUGCCUACAGAAGGCAGGUAUGCUCUGCGUUGGCUGCUUACUGUUGCUGCCCUUGUCUAAAUGGACAUCAUGAUGUGGAGAUGGAGUCAUAGCUCUUGAGUGGGGUAUGUUCGUGUUUUUGAGGUGAGCAAGGACGUGUAUUUGAUCUAGUACAAAAUAGCCCAUUGAGCAGCACGUGACAGGUGAGAAGGUUGAGGUCAGUGCUUACCUCUGUUGAGCUGUGCAUCCUUCCUCAUCCCAUAUGUGGGAGCGGAGUCAGGUCUCUAUGGGGGAGCAGAUGUCCAGAAAAUAGGGUUUGCUGAGCUAAUUUUGGGCAGUUGAAAGUGCCACAUUAUUGCUGCAAUGAGUGGAGACUGAGUGUGCCUUUCUGUCUGCUUUCAGCCCUCUCUUCCACGUGAUCCUGCCUUUUUGCUGCGGUACCAGCAACAGUGAAGAAGGAGGAGCGAAUCCAGAAGAGCGCCCCCUCUGAGUUUGGACUGACUUGAUCUUCUGCGGGUACACACAGCUCAUGUCAGUCCGUGACUCUGGUCACCACAUCGUGUCCAGAAGACAGCACUUUUGCGGUGGCAGCAGUCAAUGUGGAAAUGCCAGAUCGGUCAGAGUGCUCAGAGGAAGACUGCUCUGUUUCAGAGAGGUGGUGAGAUGCAGUUCGGGUGAGCGGAAUCAGUAGCCAAUGAUGGUGGGCCUGCUGAGGAUGAUGAGGGAUGUUUACUAGCAUACAUGCUUGUAUAUAGUUGGCUCCUCGUGCAGUUGAUGUGUGUGUGUAUGUGUGUAUGUGUGUGUGUGUGUGUGUGUGUGUGUGUGUAAUAACAGUUCACAAAAAGCAGACCAUGAAUUUAAAGAGAGCAAAGAGGGCUAUACAGAAAGAUUUGGAAGGAGGAAAGUGACUAUGGAAAUGUUGGAGUUCUAUUAUCUCAAAUAUAAAAGAAAGAAGGAAAACUAGUAACAAUUAACUUAAGAAGACAUUAAAAGUUGAAAAAAGUAAAGCAGGCUGGGCAGGCCAUGAGGAGCAAGCACAUCGGUGAGCAGCACUCCUCCAUGUUCUCUGCUUCAGUUCCUGCCUCCAGGUUCCUGCCUUGACUUCCUUGAAUGAUGGACUACAAGCUGUGAGAAGAAGGAAACCUUUUCCCCCUCCCAGGUCGCUCUUGGUCAUGGUAUUUUAUCACGGCAGUGCAGACCUGCAGUUCCACGUAUGUAAUUCUUCCCAUGGGUAGGAUCCAGAGUUGGGUAAGGGCAUUGAUGGCUUUUCCCCACAACCUGCAUGGGGCCUUCCAGCACUGUGCACACCAGCCAGCAGAGUGGAAGCUUCCAGCUUAGUGCUAGCCUGAUUCAUUUAUAUGCUGUGUCCAAAGUCCGUGCUUCCUUCAGUGAUGUAGUCUUCCCAUCUGGUUCUGGUGGGUGACCUAACAAUGGCCUAACAAUGGCAGUACCCUCCAUUGUUUGGGAUCCUCUAGCCAACAACUCAGAAGGAAAUAACCCACAACUGGUAUUGAGAUUUUUAUUUCAAAACCUAUGGUUUUUGUGAGUGGCAUUAUCCGUUCAUUUAGGGUAUUGCCAUUUAAAAAUUUUGGCUCUCUAAUUGGAUUUAAGGCCUGCUUAAUAGGAGAGAAAUCACGGCUGGUACUGAAAACCUAGCCAACUACCCAGGGCUAGUGAAGUCUUGGAUCUUGGAGGGGAACCCACAACCACCACUCUACUAAACCAUCAUAAUCCCUAACUGCUCUUAACUCCUUGUAUUUACAGAUAAGUAGAGUCCUCUCUCAUCGAUUUUGUUUCUCUUUGCAACAGAGACUAUUACAGAAACCAACAAGCAAUCAAACUGCAGAGUUGUGGAGCCGGUCCCAAUGGAUACAUCUGCAAAACAACUGCAUCUAAGGCUCUGGGAAUAUUUUAGAAUAGGAGGCAGAAAGAUUCUGAAAAGUAGGGGAUCAGGGAACAAGCUGUGAGGCUCUGUCUCCUAGUGAUGCCAGAGGUCACCCAUACUGUGUCAGCAAUGUGACUGCCCAAGCAUAAGCUGACCAAGAACAACAAUAGACACGCCUAACCGGACAGGGGGAGCCCACUAGGCCUCAGCCCUAUCCAAAGAACAAGGAGACAACUAAGGAAUACUGAGAGCUGGAGAAAUAGUCUUCCCCAGAGAAGACCAUAGCAAUUGUUUGUCCCAUACCAAAUGAUCAGUCCUGGAAGCAUACGUACAAGUGACGUGAUAAACACUGAGCGGGUUAUAUUUAGAAAUAUAUAUAUAUAAACACAUACAUAUAUGCAUAAAACCAGUUAAUGAAAAAAGAGGCCAUAAAUUUGAAAGAGAACAAGGUGGGGUGGUAUAUGUGCAUCUUUAGAGGGAGAAAAAGAACGGGAGGAAAGGUGGAAUUAUAAUCACAAAAAGGAACAAAAAAAGCUUUAGUUACCUUCUAAAUUUAGGAAGUUUCUGCAUGGCUGUUGCCCAUGUCCUAAGUGUUGGUUGACCCUUUUCUCAACCCCAUUGCCCCGGCACCAUCCCUGUUGAAGCCUUUCUAGUCCCUGCGUUCCCCCAAUGCCACUUCCAUGUCACAAGCAUUUUACUGCCCCUCCCCUCAAGACUGACUCUUGCUCCCUGACUUCUACAGACAGUAACUCCUACUUAAACACAGAUAUGUAAAACUAUGAAGCUAGGGCCCAAAUGUGAGAGAACACAUGUGGCUGCUGUGGCCACUGUGACAAAGAUGCUCAAACAUACAUUAGAGAACAGGCAGGCAUCCUCAUUGACGUAUAGUCCUGGGACAACUAGAUACACACAUGUAGAAGAAUACAACUGGAUUCCUAUCAUCCUGAAGAAAAAUCAGUUCUAAAGGGACAAAAGAACUUCAUAAGAGACCAGAAAUUCUGAAUAUGUCAGAGGUAGAGGGAAAGGUCCUCAUGAGUGGGUACAGCCAAGAACUUUCUUAAAAGGUUCAAUAGCUCAGAAAAUGUUCUACAUAUUUGGCGGAUGGGGUUAGAUUAAUUAACAGUUUUCUCCACAGCAAAAGCAAGCGCACCGCUGGAGUGAAGAGACAGCAUUCAGAAUGGGUGAAAAAUAUUUGCUACAUAUCCAUCACGCAGAAAAUUAAUGAAUACGCAGAUAAUCCUACCAACUACAAAGGAACUAAACAACAUAAAAACGAGUCACUAAAACACACACAUUUCCCAUGCAUAAUAUAUGACCUGCAUAUAAA